UAUACUCCAGCAGCCUAAGAGAAGAGGCAUGCUAAUUUCUGAGGACAAUAUUACUUACUUCAUUCUCUGUUAGUGUGUUAUUACCAAAUACCUGUCAUACACUCAAGAACUAAAGACAUACAUAGAAGCAAGAAAAUGGGACCUGAGGUCAAGACAUAUAACCAGCAAUAGGGCAGACCUAGAGAUGGUCCAGAUACUGGAAAUAUGAGAAAGAUACCUUAAAAUAACUAUUAUAAAAAUGCCAAAGUUUCUAGCCAAAAAGGUAGCCGACACCAGAAGAGAGAUGAUGGAUUUUAGCAUAGACAUGGAUGCCAUAAAAAAAGAAAAAAAGUAAAAUACUAGAAAAAGAGAAAUAUAUAUAUAUACAAUGUCAAAACUAAAGAAUGCAUUUGAUGGGCUUAACAACACAGACUAUUAAAGAGGAGAAGACUGGUAAAAUUGAAUUCUAUUGAAAAUAAUGAAACUGAAAUAAAAGCGAAAAAGAGUGAAAUAAAAACAAGACAAAAUGUCUGAGAGUUAUGAAACAAUAUCAUAUAGUUUAAAACAGGGUUUCUAACUGUUGACACUGUUGAAAUCUGUGGCCAGAUAAUUAUUUGUCACCAGAGAAUAUCCUGCACUUACAAGAUGUUUAGCAGCAUCUCUGGCCUCUGUAUAGGGAAGCAUAAAACAAAACACUGCUGACCACACAGCAGAAACAAAAUAAUGGGAUAACAUUUAAAUUGCUUGAAGACAAAAAAUUCUGACAACCCAGAAUUCUGUCUCCGGAGAAACAUCUUUCAACAUGAAUAAAGCCAUUUAAGAAUGUCAAAUUUUGUGAGAAUUUGGAGCAGACCUGCACUACAAAGAUGGCUAAAGUAAGUUAUUUAGGAUGAAAGUAAAUAGUGCCAGAUGGAAGUGUGAGAUGAAUUUGUAAGAAGAAAUAAAGACUGCUAUAAAUGAAUUGAGAGAUUCAAUAUAAUCCACACCAAAUUUCAGCAGGCUCUUUCGAAAGAAUAGACAAGCUAUUUCUAAAAUUUAUGUGAAAAUCAAACAAUCUAGAAUAGCCACAACAAUGUUGAAAAAGAAUGAACUUGGAGGCCCUUCACUACUUGAUUUCAAUAUUUUCUGUUAAGCUCCAAUAAUCAAGAUAGUGAGGAGAGACAAACAGCUUAGACAAACAGAAUGGGGCAUCUAGAAAUUGAUGUCCACAUAAAUGAGCAACUGACAUUCAACAACGCAUCAAGGCAGGCCAUUGGGAAAUAGAUAUUUUUAAAUAAGUGGUGCUAAACAGUCAUUUGAAUGUGUGAAGAAAUUGCAGCCUGUCCCCAAUCUCAUUCUGUCCACAAAAAUUAAUUUGAGGUUAAUCACAGGCAUAAAAUAAAACCCAGAAUGAUGAAGUAUUUUUUUAAAAGUAAAGAAUAUAUUUAAGAUUUUGAGAAAUGUUUACUUGGCCAAAAUACAAACUGACUAUAAAAAACACUGGUAAAAUGGGUUCCUGUAAACAUUACAAUUUCUGCUUAAGACAACAUUAUAAGAUUAAUAGAAAGCUAAAGGCUAGGAAAAAUAUAUUCUCAGUCCAUAUAUCUGAAAAGAACUUUUAGUUUAUAUAAAGACCUACUAAAAUCAAUAAUAAAAAGAUUAAGCACCCAAUUUAAAAACUGGUAAAAUACUUGAGCAGCCAUUUCACAAAAAUAUGUAUGAGUAGCCAAUUAGCAAAUGAAAGCACAAAUUAAAACCACACUAAUACACUAUUUCACAGCACAAGAAUAGGUAAAACGGAAAACCGAUAACCCUAAAUGUUUCCCUCUAUGUGGAGAAAUAGAGCUGCCAUAAAUUGGUAAGGUACAAAAUGGUUCAACUGGUUUGGAAAAUAGGUGAUUUCUUAUAACAUUCAGUGUAAUCUACCCAGUGACUCUGCAAUUUUACCCCUAGACAUUGACCCAAGAGAAAUGAAAACAUAUGUCCACAAAAGAAUUGUACAAGGAAACUUACAGAAGCUUCAUUCAUAAUGGCCCAAGAGGUGAAACAACCCAAAGUCCAUUUACAGGACAAUGGAUAAACUUACUGUGGUAUACUCAUGCAAAGGGAUACUGCUCUGGAAUAAAAAUUUUUAAAAAAGAGCAAUCUAAUGAUUCAUGCAGAAACAUAUAAAGAUACUUUUCAAUAUGGAUUAAUCAUGUGAAAGAAGCCAGAUACAAAAAAGUAUAGUGUACAUAACAACAUUUUUAUAAAGUCCAAGGACAAUCAAAACUUGAAAUAUAAUGUGUUAGAAAUCACAUGAAGAGCUCACUUUUGAGGGAGUGUGGAUUUAGUGAAUGGGAGGAGAUGGAAAUUUUCUGUGAUGAUGGAAAUGUUCUGUAUCUUAAGUGGCUUGACGGUUACGCAGAUGGAUAUCUGGGUUAAAAAAUCAUUAAGCUGAACACCUAAGAGCAUGCGUGUUAAUUAUAACUCAAUAAAGAAGAGUAAAAAGGCAAAAACUCAGUAAAACAAAAGGGCAAAAGACUUGACAGUUUGUAAACAAAGAUACACAGAGGCCAAAAAACACAUGAAAGAUGCUCUCCUGCUUCUGCUCAAAUCAGAGGCUGCCAUGGUCUCUACCAGUUAAAACUAUGCCAUACCAUGGCCAUGGCAGCCAUCCACAGGUCAGGAAACCACAUCAACAAGCCACCAAUGAAGCAACUUCCCCAUCAAGAUACAUGAAGCUAGUGAUUGGACACCCCACAGCUGCCUCCUGAUUUUCAUAAGUUGGGGCUACAUACUGGAAUAUGAAUGCAGAGAAAAAUAAAAUUUGCAUAUCCAUGCCCUUGUUUUCCAGAGCCUAAAGCAGUAAAAAGUGGCCUUUGAUUCAUCUUCACUUUCCAAUUUGCUUGGGUAUAUAAUUGGUGGGCCAUAUUUUGCAUGCAGAACUCUAGCUCUAAGGGAGUAUGGAAAAUAUUGUUUUCAUAUUUCAGUGUCUUCAGAGGAGAAGACCCACUAGAAGGCUGCUGCAAUGGAGACCUGGUACCCAACAGAGGAUGAGAUUUGGAAUUAUGUUCAAGCAAUUACUUAAUUCAGGAAUUAUCUGCUGAAUACCUAAACCAGCGAUGGCAAAUGAAUUUUGUUGAGAAGGAAAUUAAUGCAAGUAAAAUAUUUAUGGGAACACAUAAUCACAAAGGUUUCAUGCUGCUUAUAUUGGUGUGCUGUGUUUUCUUCAAGCCUGGAGGUAAAAUUCAUGUCUUGGAUGUAAGGCAGCUGAAACUUCCAUAGAAAACCUACUGCCCGCCUGACCUGAGGAAUCAAAGGACAGAGCUUACGGCUGCUAUCGCUGAAGGAACGUGAAGGGGGCAUUACAGAAAGGAGAGCACCAGAAGAUGGAAGUCCCAGUGUCUAGGACCUCUCUUAUUAAGAUGAAUGCAAGUGGUGAGAGCAGAUAUCCUUACCUUGUUCCUGAAGUUAUAGCUAUAAAAUGAAUUCUGGCUGUUCAGCAGGAAGGCCAGCAGGCAAAGGGACAGCAGGGGGUCAUUCAAGAAGCAUCAGCUGGGGAGACACAGGACAUGGGAUAAGGUAUUCAUUCCCUGACUCUGUUGCUAAUGAUCUUGUCUUUGCUGCGUGCACUGACUCUUGCCUCUCAUUAGUUCUGAGCCAUAGAAAAAAUAAUUAUUUCUUUUAUAUCCUUGAAUAUGUAUAGUUUUUGCUCCCCCUCUGUCUCAUAUAGGAGAAGAGUA